UCUUAAUGGAUUGGAUUUGAGUCUGAUCCUUGUUCUCACAAAGCCAGCUUUCAGGUUAUCCCUCUGAAGCAUUGCUGCUCAGUGCUGAGCGUCUUUGCAAGUCUUUCUCUAAUCUCAUUACUCAAGUGGCCUCACCAGCCAGAAAAACUGAAGUUGGUGGUCACAGCCUUUCCCGACUGUCUGAUCUUCCAAGUUAAAAAAAGAUAACCGUGUACAUUAUAGCCGUUUUUUUAAAAAUGUCCAUACAUUGAAAUUGAUCUGUCUCCGGAAAUACAAAGAGGCACAAAGAAAAAAGAAGGAGGACAUCAAUGAACUACUGGCAAGACAUCAGGACGAGCUGGCAGGAAAAAAUGCCAGAAUCGCAGCCUUGGAAGAAGAAAAUAAAAAACUGGCCAGCAAUAUCGCAAGGGUUGCUCAGGAAAAUAGCAAACUAAAGGAGAAACUUCAGGAAAUUGAAGAAAAUGAGUAUUUUUUUAACCCAUUUUAAUUAUUUUCAUGUAAAAAAUGAAAGUGAUUGAUUGAAGUUUAACUUCACAAGUACUAAUUAUUUUGUUAUUUUUUUUGGCCAGGGCUUGCCCAACCAACUACAGAUGAGACAGAAUCCGUAGAAGAGCGGAAUCUGCAACGGCAGCUGGAAGAAAUGGAGGGGGAAGUCGAAGAGAUGUGCUCCAAGGUAGACCUAUCCAGAACAUUUAACCAACAUAGGCAAAGAUUUUCUUUUGCUGACAUUUCAAAUUCUGAAAAAAAAUCUAUACCAGGGACGCUUCAACACUACAUCUAAAUAAAGGCUUUGGAAUGUAAUUUUCCAGAAAUACCUUUUUUUCUUUCCUCAAAACAAAUAUGAAAGCUCCUUCUAUGAUCGGAGCCAUGAAAGGGGCUUGUGUGGGUAAAUGAAAUUGUGGACUAUGUCAUCAGACAUGUAUAUUUCUAGUAUGGUCACCCAAGGUGAAAAGGCCAUGAUGGAUAACCAAGACAAACACCGAUUGCAUCUGCCCACCCGCACUGGAAUCAGCGUGGCAUAUUAUGAAUCAAGGCAGUCAUAGAAUGGAUACCACUUGAUAAAAAUGUCCACGAAAAACCUAAAACAAGAUGGAUCACUGGCAACAGCAAUUGGCAAAAGAAAACUCAAGACCGUAUUCGCUGAAAACAUGUGGAAGAGGCCUUCAUCCUGCAGUGGAUAGACAAUCGCUAAAAUGACAAUGACAAAUCUGAAAAAAAGACUUUGGCCAAUCAUUGACAUCUGUUGUGUAACCUGACUGGGCAGAGAAGGGGUUACCUUUAUGCCUCUAUGUUAUUGACCGUCUUAAAUCAAGCCAAGCUCAAAAACACUAGAGAAUUCCUGGAAGUAGGUUAUACUCUUCACUCUUACCAAUUGGCCACCAAAAGACAUGUAGACAUAAACAUCUUCCUACUGUGCAAAAGAGACAAUCAAAAAGCCAAAAAGGGAACAAAAAGACCAAAACACCUAAGCAAUCAACACUGAGCAUAACACCAAGAUUAACAUCAGACCAACAAUCAAGAAGUAAAUACCACCCCCCAAUCAAGGAACUGCCAAACAACCCAACAUUAAACAGCCCAACCAAAGAAAAUCGCACAAACAGACUACAAACAUUAGCAUGAUAAAGAAGCAACACAGGUGCAUUGCAAGAUCUGCAAGAAAUACCAUUUGCCUGCAAGCAAUAACUGGGGGACCGUAAAAUAAAGACAUAGAAAACAAAGAGGCUAAAGUGUUCUGGGACGUUAGAAUUCCAACAGACAGGCACCUGCCAAUAACAAGCCAAUUAUCAAUAAGAAAGACAAAAAAGUCUAGACAUUUGAUGGGGCAAUCCCUGGAGACAGUAGAAGAGAAGAGAAAGACAGAAGAAGAUAACAAAAUACAAAGACCUGCAAAUAGAAAUAGAACAACUGGAGAAAAGAAGGCAAAGGUAGUACCAGUAGUAAGAGACACCUUGGGUGCAAUCCCAAAACAAUUGGAGCACCACUUGGACACCACUGGCAUUGCCAAAAUCACGAUUGGUCAGUUGCAAAAGGCAGCUUUGCUCAACAACAGCUGGAAGAAAAGAUGUUUCUCCUUACAAAGAAAUAACAACUGUAUCAAGCCCAACAAAAAGAGAAUAUUUGAAACAAAUAUUCUGGUCCUGCCCUCGGGUGCUUUGAAGAAUAGUUUGACCUCCUCUUCUCUGUGUCAGCCCCUCAAGUAGUGGGAGAGACAGCCUCACAACUACAUGGAUUUGUUACCUUUUAACAUCUUCAUAAAUAAUCUGGAAGUGGGAAUAAAAGGGAACCCAUCACAUUUGGAGACAACACCAAGCUGGGGAGAACAGCCAACAGUUUAGAAGACAGACUCGAGAUACAGAAGGAUCUUGACAGACUUGAACACUGCGCCCUAUCCAACAAAAUGCAAUUCAGUGGUGAGAAAGUAAAGUGUUACAUUUAGAAAGAAAAACCAAAUGAACAAGUAAAGAAUAGGUUGGAGUUGGUUCAACAGCAGUAACUGUGACAGGAAUCUAGAUGUCCUAAUGGACGACCACUUAAGUCUGGUGUGUGCUGCUACUGCCCCAAAAGCCAAUGCAGUCCUAGGCAGCAUUCACAGAGAAAUACGAUUAAGAUCAUGUGAAGUGUUAGUAACACUUUAUACUUCACUAGAAAGAUCACAUUGUUUGGAUCUCCCUGAUUAAAAAAAAUGUUGAGAGUCUAGAAGGAGUUCAGAGAAGAGCAACAAAGAUGAUUAGGAGUCUGGAAGGCUAAGUCAUAUGACGAUCGGUUCAGUGAAUUAGAUACAUCUAGUCUAAAAAAAAA